UGGUGGAGUGAUUUGUCUGGUUAAUUCCGUUAACGAACGAGACCGCAGCCUGCUAAAUAGUUAUCGUCAUUCUUCUGGAUGAUGUCUAGUAACUUCUUAGAGGGACUAAUGGUGUUUAGCCAUUGGAAGUUUGCGGCAAUAACA
rnacentral:rRNA from 1 species